GCUUCCCACAGACCAGCUGCGCCUCACAGACCAGCUCCUCCCCACAGACCAGCUGCUCCCCACAUACCAGCUACUCCUCACAGACCUCCAACUCCUCACAGACCAGCUGUUCCUCACAGACCAACUGAUCCCCACCGACCAGCUGCACCUCACAGACCAGCUACUCCUUACAGACCAGCUGCUCCCCACAGACCAGGUGCUCCUCACAGACCACCAACUCAUCACAGACCAGCUGCUCCUCACAGACAAGCUACUCCUUACAGACCAGCUGCUCCUCCACAGACCAGCUGUUCGUCACAGACCAGCUCCUUCUCACAGACCAGCUGCUCCUCACAGACCAGCUCCUCCUCACAGACCAGUUGCUCCUCACAGACCAGCUCCUCCUCACAGACCACCAACUCCUCACAGACCAGCUCCUCCCCACAGACCAGCUGCUCCCCACACACCAGCUACUCCUCACAGACCUCCAACUCCUCACAGACCAGCUCUUCAUCACAGACCAACUGAUCCCCACCGACCAGCUGCACCUCACAGACCAGCUGCUCCUCACAGACCAGCUGCUCCUCAUAGACCAGCUACUCCUUACAGACCAGCUGCUCCCCACAGACCAGGUGCUCCUCACAGACCACCAACUCAUCACAGACCAGCUGCUCCUCACAGACAAGCUACUCCUUACAGACCAGCUACUCCUUACAAACCAGCUGCUCCCCACAGACCAGCUGUUCGUCACAGACCAGCUCCUUCUCACAGACCAGCUGCUCCUCACAGACCAGCUCCUCCUCACAGACUAGCUGCUCCUCACAUACAAGCUGCUCUUCACAGACCAGCUGCUCCCUACAGAUCAACUACUCCCCACAGACUAGUUGUUCCUCACAGACUAGCUACUCCUCACAGACCAGCUGCUCCUCACAGGCCAGCUACUCUUUACAGACCAGCUGCUCCUCACAGAGGAGCUCCAUUGUUGACACACAAGGGGCUUUGUGAGCCACAGAAGCUCAGCCUGCUGCGUCUGUUACACACC
rnacentral:lncRNA from 1 species